AGUCCCGUGGUGAAUUUCCACAUUGAAUUGCAAAUUCAAAGGAGCAGCUUCAAUUCCUGCCGGGGCUU
rnacentral:tRNA from 1 species